GCCGCCUGAAGAUCACCCCAGUGGCCUCCGGUAAGACUAGGUGCCUACAACCACCAGGGCUUCAGCUCACCCCGACUGCUGGUGAAGGGCGUGAGACCCAGGCCCCAACAGCA
rnacentral:snoRNA from 1 species